UACGUAGGGUGCGAGCGUUAAUCGGAAUUACUGGGCGUAAAGUGUGCGCAGGCGGCAGAGCAAGUCGAGUGUGAAAGCCCCGGGCUUAACUUGGGAAUUGCGCUCGAAACUACUUUGCUGGAGUGUGGCAGAGGAAGGUGGAGUUCCACGUGUAGCGGUGAAAUGCGUAGAGAUGUGGAGGAACACCAAUGGCGAAGGCAGCCUUCUGGGCCAACACUGACGCUCAUGCACGAAAGCGUGGGGAGCAAACAGG
rnacentral:rRNA from 1 species